CCUACGGGAGGCAGCAGUGAGGAAUAUUGGUCAAUGGACGCAAGUCUGAACCAGCCAUGCCGCGUGCAGGAUGACGGCUCUAUGAGUUGUAAACUGCUUUUGUACGAGGGUAAACCCCGCUCCGUGUAUCGGGUUGCAAGUAUCGUACGAAUAAGGAUCGGCUAACUCCGUGCCAGCCGCCGCGGUAAUACGGAGGAUCCGAGCGUUAUCCGGAUUUAUUGGGUUUAAAGGGUGCGUAGGGGGUUUGAUAAGUUAGAGGUGAAAUUUCGGGGCUCAACCCCGCAACUGCCGCUAAUACGGUUGGACUAGAGAAUAGUUGCGGUAGGCGGAAUGUAUGGUGUAGCGGUGAAAUGCUUAGAGAUCAUACAGAACACCGAUUGCGAAGGCAGCUUACCAAACUAUAUCUGACGUUGAGGCACGAAAGCGUGGGUAGCAAACAGGAUUAGAUACCCUAGUAGUC
rnacentral:rRNA from 1 species